CCUACGGGUGGCAGCAGUGAGGAAUAUUGGUCAAUGGCCGCAGGGCUGAACCAGCCAAGUCGCGUGAGGGAUGACGGUCCUAUGGAUUGUAAACCUCUUUUGUCAGGGAGCAAAGGGCGCCACGUGUGGCGUUUUGCGAGUACCUGAAGAAAAAGCAUCGGCUAACUCCGUGCCAGCAGCCGCGGUAAUACGGAGGAUGCGAGCGUUAUCCGGAUUUAUUGGGUUUAAAGGGUGCGCAGGCGGAAUGUCAAGUCAGCGGUAAAAUUUCGGGGAUCAACCGUAAAAUUGCAAUUGAUACUGGCAGCCUUGAGUACAGUUGAGGUAGGCGGAAUUCGUGGUGUAGCGGUGAAAUGCUUAGAUAUCACGAAGAACUCCGAUUGCGAAGGCAGCUUACUAAACUGCCACUGACAUUGAUGCUCGAAAGUGUGGGUAUCAAACAGGAUUAGAUACCCUGGUAGUC
rnacentral:rRNA from 1 species